rnacentral:rRNA from 1 species
UACGUAGGGUGCAAGCGUUGUCCGGAAUUAUUGGGGCGUAAAGAGCUCGUAGGCGGUCUGUCGCGUCGGCUGUGAAAACCUGAGGCUCAACCUCGGGCCUGCAGUCGAUACGGGCAGACUAGAGUUCGGUAGGGGAGACUGGAAUUCCUGGUGUAGCGGUGAAAUGCGCAGAUAUCAGGAGGAACACCGGUGGCGGAAGGCGGUCUGCUGGGCAGUAGCUGACACUGGAGGCGCGGACAGCGUGGGGAGCAAACAGG